rnacentral:misc_RNA from 1 species
AACGCAAAUUGCACUCCUUGGUAUUCCGGGGAGUAUGCCUGUUUGAGGGUCAGUUUAAAUAAACAUCGAGGUUGUUGCUUUUUUGUGACGCUUCGGAAUUGGGAAGUCUUGAUCCUUGGAUCAAGUGACCUGAAAUUUACACGUUUCUGUGCAUCUCUAACGUACAUAAGAAAUAUGUUUCUAAAUACGUCAGGGUUUGCCGGGCUCUAUUAGGUAUGACCAUAUCGUUCGUGGCAUUCGUACCUAUAACGUAACUCAUGUUUUGACCUCAAAUCAGGUAGGAGUACCCGCUGAACUUAA